GAUAUAUGGAAGAACACCAGUGGCGAAGGCGGCUGUCUGGUCUGCAACUGACGCUGAGGCUCGAAAGCAUGGGUAGCGAACAGGAUUAGAUACCCUGGUAGUCCAUGCCGUAAACGAUGAGUGCUAGGUGUUGGAGGGUUUCCGCCCUUCAGUGCCGAAGCUAACGCAUUAAGCACUCCGCCUGGAGAGUACGACCGCAAGGUUGAAACUCAAAGGAAUUGACGGGGGCCCGCACAAGCGGUGGAGCAUGUGGUUUAAUUCGAAGCUACGCGAAGAACCUUACCAGGUCUUGACAUCUUGCGCCAACCUCAGAGAUGAGGCGUUCCCUUCGGGGACGCAAAGACAGGUGGUGCAUGGUCGUCGUCAGCUCGUGUCGUGAGAUGUUGGGUUAAGUCCCGCAACGAGCGCAACCCUUGUUACUAGUUGCCAGCAUUCAGUUGGGCACUCUAGUGAGACUGCCGGUGACAAACCGGAGGAAGGUGGGGACGACGUCAGAUCAUCAUGCCCCUUAUGACCUGGGCUACACACGUGCUACAAUGGCCGGUACAACGAGCAGCUAACCCGCGAGGGUGUGCAAAUCUCUUAAAGCCGGUCUCAGUUCGGACUGCAGUCUGCAACUCGACUGCACGAAGUCGGAAUCGCUAGUAAUCGCGGAUCAGCAUGCCGCGGUGAAUACGUUCCCGGGCCUUGUACACACCGCCCGUCACACCAUGGAAGUUUGUAACGCCCAAAGUCGGUGGCCUAACCAUUUGGAGGGAGCCGCCUAAGGC
rnacentral:rRNA from 1 species